rnacentral:rRNA from 1 species
UAGAUACCCGGGUAGUCCAUGCCGUAAACGGUGGGCACUAGGUGUGGGGACUUUCAACGGUUUCCGUGCCGAAGCUAACGCAUUAAGUGCCCCGCCUGGGGAGUACGGCCGCAAGGCUAAAACUCAAAGGAAUUGACGGGGGCCCGCACAAGCGGCGGAGCAUGUUGCUUAAUUCGAGGCAACGCGAAGAACCUUACCUGGGUUUGACAUGUACCGGACAGCCAUAGAGAUAUGGUUUCCUUCGGGUCGGUACACAGGUGGUGCAUGGCCGCCGUCAG